AGCUCAAGCUUAAAACCCAAAGGACUUGACGGUGUCCCACCCACCUAGAGGAGCCUGUUCUAUAAUCGAUUAUCCACGAUUCACCUCACCACUUCUAGCUUUUCAGCCUGUAUACCUCCGUCGUAAGCUCACCGUAUGAACGGUUUUUAGUGAGCUAAAAGAUUUUUACGUAAAUACGUCAGGUCAAGGUGCAGCCAACGAAGUGGCAAGCAAUGGGCUACAAUUUCUACACUUAGAACAUAACGAAAGACCGCAUGAAAUACGGUCAUGAAGGUGGAUUUAGUAGUAAAAAGAAAAUAGAGAGUUCUUUUUAACCAGGCACUGGGACGCGUACACACCGCCCGUCACCCUCUUCAAACGCCUUAAUUCAGUACAUAACAAGUACCCGCAUCACAGAAGAGGUAAGUCGUAACACGGUAAGCGUACUGGAAAGUGCGCUUGGAUAAACAAAAUGUAGCUUAAUUAAAGCAUCUCGCUUACACCGAGAAUAUGUCUGUUAAACUCGGAUCAUCUUGAGCUAAAAACUUAGCUUAAUCUCUUCUAAUGUACAACCCUUAAAACCCGCAACUAAGUAAAACAUUUUCUACAUUUAGUAAAGGCGAUCAAAAAAUGUCUUAAAGCUAUACAAUUAGUACCGCAAGGGAAAAGUGAAAUAGCAAUGAAAAACCUCAAGCACAUAAAAGCAGAGAUUCAAUCUUGUACCUUUUGCAUCAUGGUUUAACUAGUCUAAUCAAGCAAAAUGAUUUUUAAGUCUGACCCCCCGAAACUAGGUGAGCUACUUAAAAACAGCCUUAUGGGCGAACCCGUCUCUGUUGCAAAAGAGUGGGAAGAUUUUUAAGUAGGGGUGAUAAGCCUAUCGAACCUAGAGAUAGCUGGUUAUUCAGGAAAAGGAUUUAAGUCCUACCUUAGGUUUUUCGUAUAUUUAAAUACACCUCUAACCUUAAGAGUCAUUCAAAUAAGGUACAGCCUAUUUGAAACAGGAUACAACCUCAUCUAUCGGGUAACAUUUUUUAUACUACCUAAGUGGGCCUAAGAGCAGCCACCUUUUAAAAAGCGUUAAAGCUUUAUUUAAUUUUCUAUAAAAAUUCCACUAAUUAUCUGUAACCCUCAACCUGUACUGAAUGAUUUCAUAAUUUUAUGAAAACCUAUAUGUUAGAACUAGUAACAAGAAGGAAGCCCUUCUCCAAAAUGUAAGCAUGAACCAAAAUGAACCACUCAUUGGUAUUUAAAGUUAAUAAACCUCAAGUAGCAACUUAACAAGAAAAAACUAUUUAUUAUAGCGUCAAUCUUACACCAGCACAUUUCCGGAAAGAUUAAAAGAAUGGGAAGGAACUCGGCAAACAACUGACCUCGCCUGUUUACCAAAAACAUCGCCUCCUGCAUUUUAUAGGAGGUCCAGCCUGCCCAGUGACAAAGUUAAACGGCCGCGGUACCCUAACCGUGCAAAGGUAGCGCAAUCAUUUGUUCUUUAAAUGAGGACUAGUAUGAAUGGCAUCACGAAGGUUAUGCUGUCUCCCCACUCUAUUCAGUGAAACUGAUCUCCCCGUGAAGAAGCGGGGAUAAAAUUAUAAGACGAGAAGACCCCAUGGAGCUUUAAACUCAGUAACAACUGUUAUUUUUAAGCCUGAUAUUUAUGCAGCCAUGAUUACUAGUUUUCGGUUGGGGUGACCACGGAGUAAAACCUAACCUCCACGAUGAAAGGAAGUACAAACCUAAAUCAAGAGCGACAGCUCCAAAUAUCAACAAAUUGACUAAAUUGACCCAAUUACUUGAUCAACGAACUAAGUUACCCUGGGGAUAACAGCGCAAUCCAUUUCAAGAGCUCAUAUCGACAAAUGGGUUUACGACCUCGAUGUUGGAUCAGGGUAUCCCAGUGGCGCAGUCACUACUAACGGUUCGUUUGUUCAACGAUUA
rnacentral:rRNA from 2 species